UACGGAGGGUGCAAGCGUUAAUCGGAAUUACUGGGCGUAAAGCGUGCGUAGGCGGUUCGUUAAGUCUGUUGUGAAAGCCCCGGGCUCAACCUGGGAAUGGCAAUGGAUACUGGCGAGCUAGAGUGUGUCAGAGGAUGGUGGAAUUCCCGGUGUAGCGGUGAAAUGCGUAGAGAUCAGGAAGAACAUCGGUGGCGAAGGCGCUCUGCUGGACCAUAACUGACACUCAGGGACGAAAGCUAGGGGAGCGAAUGGG
rnacentral:rRNA from 1 species